AGUUGGUAUAUAACUGUCGAAUAUCGACAAACCUCAAGAUCAAUCGAGAUGUAUCAAUGUAACUUAAUAUAUUAUGUAGUAUACAGGAGUCAUGCGAUGUAACCUAUAUACAUAAAACAUAUAUCGAUUUCAAUUCGUAAUCAAAGAAUACAUUGAAAUGAAUGGCUUCAUGCUGGUGCGACACAUCAUUCAGAUUGAAAAGAAGCCAUGAAAUCAAUUAAAGGAUAUUAAUUGAAGAGCUGAUGGUAUUCGAUGCUAUUUAAACAAAAUUUAUAAAAACUUUGUACGAUAUCGUGUUCUAUAAAAAAUUGUUUUUUU